GACUGGUGACAGAGUGAGAGAGGGGGUGACUAGUGACAGAGUGAAAGAGGGGGUGACUGUCACUAGUCACCCCAUCCCUCACUCUGUCACUAGUCACCCCCUCUCUCACUCUGUCACUAGUCA